rnacentral:lncRNA from 1 species
GCACAACGUCGAAAGCAGCCGUUGGGAGCCCAGGAGGCGGGGCGCCUGUGGGAGCCGUGGAGGGAACUUUCCCAGUCCCCGAGGCGGAUCCGGUGUUGCAUCCUUGGAGCGAGCUGAGAGCUCGAGUACAGAACCUGCUAAGGCCAUCAAACCUAUUGAUCGGAAGUCAGUCCAUCAGAUUUGCUCUGGGCCGGUGGUACCGAGUCUAAGCACUGCGGUGAAGGAGUUAGUAGAAAACAGUCUGGAUGCUGGUGCCACUAAUAUUGUAGAGAUAGAGUUUCUCCAUGUUGGUCAGGCUGGUCUCGAACUACUGACCUCAGGUGAUCCGCUCGCUUUGGUCUCCCAAAGUGCUGGGAUUACAGGCAUGAACCACCGCGCCUGGCCCCCGUUCUCCUUACUGGAUCUAAAGCUUAAGGACUAUGGAGUGGAUCUCAUUGAAGUUUCAGGCAAUGGAUGUGGGGUAGAAGAAGAAAACUUCGAAGGCUUAACUCUGAAACAUCACACAUCUAAGAUUCAAGAGUUUGCCGACCUACCUCAGGUUGAAACUUUUGGCUUUCGGGGGGAAGCUCUGAGCUCACUUUGUGCACUGAGUGAUGUCACCAUUUCUACCUGCCAUGUAUCGGCGAAGGUUGGGACUCGACUGGUGUUUGAUCACUAUGGGAAAAUCAUCCAGAAAACCCCCUACCCCCACCCCAGAGGGAUGACAGUCAGUGUGAAGCAGUUAUUUUCUACGCUACCUGUGCACCAUAAAGAAUUUCAAAGGAAUAUUAAGAAGGACUCCUAGAAGUACCCCACCCCACCCCUGCUCCUUGGAGGACAACGUGAUCACUGUAUUCAGCUCUGUCAAGAAUGGUCCAGGUUCUUCUAGAUGAUCUGCACAAAUGGCUCCUCUCCUCCUUCCUGAUGUCUGCCAUUAGCACUGGAAUAAAGUUCCUGCUGAAAAUCCA